UCCUGGCCAGCUGCCCCAUGCCUGAGGCCCCUCCCAGCCGGCUGCCUGCUCCGACAGGAAGCUGGGCCAUCCCAAGGCUCCUUGUUUGUUUUCUGUUCCGGAAUCACAGGCCUUUGCUGAAUGGCCUGGAAAACCACCAUUUUAUUUUGCUGGGAUUUGUGAGUGGGGAAGGCAAAGUAGGGAAACACUCCUUUCGAAGGAAAAAGGGAAGAAGGCCGGUAUCUCUGGCUUAGGGAGCAUACGCGAGGGGCCCUGGAGAUCAGAGGAUGGGUCUGCCUGACCCAUGGUUGUUUUCCUUCAGCUCAAAUGCUGUUGGCUUGAAUGCUGGCCCAGCACUCACAGCUAACUCCACCCCCACCUCGGAGUGACCUUUACACAGGUUUGCGUCCUUCAGCACUGGCUUCUUGCUGCCCUCAAGCAGGUAGUUUUAGGGACAGACAUAUUUUCAUUCCAGCGACAAUGUUGUGACUUGGGGGAAUGCAGGAAAUUUUCUUGUGCUAUCGGGUCUGUUGUCAAGGGGGCACACUUCCAUACCUUUUUCUACCUCACAGGGCAGUUGCCUGUGUCUGUCCACCAGGUGUGACACCCCAGCUGUGGCAAGCUAUCCUCACAGGGCCUCCUGGCUCGGGGGUUUUCCCAGAAUGCUCUCUAAUGCAGAAUCAUGUCAUGUCCCUGAUGUCUUUACAAAACCAAACCUUAUGGGAGGGGAAUGAAAUACUUGAGUGUGGCCUUCAGCAUACUCUUACCACACAGGGGGUCACAAACAGAAUUCAUUAAGUCCUCUGCUGGAGAUAUUUGUUCAACCCAACCCCUUACAAUUCAGUCAUCCUUUCUGUUUACUAGGAAGUCGGAGAGUUGAAUAUGAAAACAACCGGCAGCAUCAGAAACGGAAACUGCUCUGGGUCUGCUUUGCCCUUGCUGUGGCCCGACUCGCUGGGCAGACACUGGCAUCCUGCCCGCUUGUCCACAGAGGUUGAUUUUCCCCAGCCAACUUUGGUCAGUGCCUUAGGGAGCAGCUAGCAGACCGUGUUAUUUGUAUUAGAAGUUCUCAAGCCCAGUCGGAGCCAUGUGACUUUCAGGUGAGUUUAGGAGAACACUGGCUGGAGUGUAGGUGUGUGCUUCCUAUUGUGAGCCCCUGUCCAGCCGUUUUCCAGAGUGGUUAAUAGCAUUUCCCAUUCCCGCCGACAGAGCCCCACCACGGUCCAGGUGCUCAUCUCAACCAACACUCGAUCAUCAACAGUAACUGGGAAUUCUUCUCAAACAUUACACAGUUCAGUAGAUGGUACCUCUAGAGAGUCUUUACCAACUGAGUAAAUUAGAAGGUAAACAGGAAGGACUGGCAAAGCUGGCUUCUAAGGAGACCUUCUAAUACUUCCCUGCAAAAGAAGACAAACGAGUAGUCCCCAGUAAGUAUCUUAGACUAGGAUUUUAGCAUAGUACAGCAAAACCGAAUGACCCUGGGUAAAAAGCUUUC